CCAUUUCAUUCAUUUUUCUAAUAAAAAGAUGAUUUUACCCUCAAAUAAAACAAAAAGAAAAGAAAAGAUAAAAAACUAGUUGAAACAAUAGUUCCAAAUUUUCAAAUAAUUACAAAUUAAUCACAAAUAUAUGAUUAAAAAUCAAAACAAAAAAACCAAAAAUCAUUCACUUCUUUCACAUCUUCUUCCCCUUGGGCAGCGACAAUUUUGAUGCAAGAUCAAGGGCCACCGCGAAUUCUGAAACAGGCAAUGGCAACUUUAGGCAGCCGGGGUCUUGACCGAAUGAAAAUUUGCAAAUACUAUCGAAAGAAAAUCUUUGAAACACGUCUUGUAAAUCAAGAACGCCAUUUUCUUUAUCAGCAACGGAUGACAAUAAAGGAAUAAGCCUGUAAUGAAUUUCAGGGACUACAAUCUCAAAUGCAUAUGAUUUUGCAGAAAAGAAUACCUACUUCUAGACAAUCCAUUUUCCUCUGGAACUUCCAUAAAUGGCCAUCAACGUUGAAAAUCCCUCUCCCAAGAAGAUCACCCAAAAUGGCAGGAAAUGUCUUGCCUUUUGGAUAAUUAUCAAACCUUGUUUUUGAGCAUAUACUCAACAUUUUCAGUAUUGGUGGUGAUAAUAUUUCCAAGAACAUGAACACGAAUUGUUCCGGUUUCCGAUUUCUGCAGAAGAUGAGAGUACCAAUCAUACAAAUAACUGAAUUCCAAGGACCACCUUGAAUUGACAAGAGUAAGAAGAUGAAUGAUUUUUGUUUUUUUAGUUUUGAUUUUUAAUUAUACAUUUGUGAUUAAUUUGUAAUUUUUUGAAAUUUUGGGACCGUUGUUGCAAUUAUUUCUUUAUCUUUUCUUUUCUUUUUGUUUUAUUUGAAUAAGGGGUAAAAUCAUCUUUUUAUUGGAAGAAUUGAUAAAAAUGAUCUUUUGCACAAUAAAAAGUCAAAAUAAGGGUGAAAAUGCCAAAAAAUAAAAGGUAGAGACGUUUUGCACAAUGGUAUUAAAAGGUCAAGAUGUUUUUUUACCCAAUUUGAUACAGUAUCAUUUCUUUGUGAAUUACUAUACGAAGCAAUGGUAGAUAAUCAUUGUUCUCAUAAAGUUGUUUUAUACACUUUUGUAUGUGCUUGUCGACGUGCAAAUCCAGUCCAGUGGCCUAUCCGACUCUGCACAAACCACGUCUUGAGGGUUUGUUCCGAGGCUUACAAUUUUCGCACUCGACUGGCCUGCAAGAAAAAAUGAAGUUUUUGUCAUGCUUUUAGGCAGCCUAAACGGAGUUCUUAGCGUGUAAUAUGAUAUUUAUUGAUCGUAUCAUGACAUUUAUAAGGUAAGAAUGAC
rnacentral:lncRNA from 1 species